UCAGGAAAGAGCUAAUACGGUGCACCACAUUUAGCAAGCUCAAAACUUUGUCACUAGAUGAUUGGUGUGUGGAGCCUGAUUACAGCCCACUACUUUACUUUCUCCAGCGGUCACCAAGUCUCGAGAACCUCCACCUCCGACUAUCUAAGAAAUAUAAACAUGCCGAAGAAACAGACGGAAGCUACGCUCCAAUAGAACCAUUUUUGGCAUCGAAGAGUCCUAGGGCUUUCAAUAUCAAAUGCCUGCCCAAAGAUGAGCGUGUUCACAAAAUUGUGAAGGUCCUGAGUUCAUGUGGAGUAACUGCUGAGUUAAUCAUCAUCAACAAAAGAAUUUGGUCUUCCGACGGAUCAUAUUCAGAUUCAGAGCACUCAAAUUAUUCACAUUCAGAUUCAGAGCAGUCAAACUAUUCACAUUCAGAUUCAGAGCAGUCAAACUAUUCACAUUCAGAUUCAGAGCAAGAGCAAUUGGAUUAAACGCUUGGAACAUUGCCAUGAGUUUACUAUCUUGCUUCGACCUUUAGCGAAAUUUCUAGUUGUCAAG